CUACAGGCUUAACACAUGCAAUUCGAGGGCAGCAUGGUCUUAGCUUGCUAAGGCUGAUGGCGACCGGCGCACGGGUGAGUAACACGUAUCCAACCUGCCGUCUACUCUUGGCCAGCCUUCUGAAAGGAAGAUUAAUCCAGGAUGGGAUCAUGAGUUCACAUGUCCGCAUGAUUAAAGGUAUUUUCCGGUAGACGAUGGGGAUGCGUUCCAUUAGAUAGUAGGCGGGGUAACGGCCCACCUAGUCAACGAUGGAUAGGGGUUCUGAGAGGAAGGUCCCCCACAUUGGAACUGAGACACGGUCCAAACUCCUACGGGAGGCAGCAGUGAGGAAUAUUGGUCAAUGGGCGAUGGCCUGAACCAGCCAAGUAGCGUGAAGGAUGACUGCCCUAUGGGUUGUAAACUUCUUUUAUAAAGGAAUAAAGUCGGGUAUGCAUACCCGUUUGCAUGUACUUUAUGAAUAAGGAUCGGCUAACUCCGUGCCAGCAGCCGCGGUAAUACGGAGGAUCCGAGCGUUAUCCGGAUUUAUUGGGUUUAAAGGGAGCGUAGAUGGAUGUUUAAGUCAGUUGUGAAAGUUUGCGGCUCAACCGUAAAAUUGCAGUUGAUACUGGAUGUCUUGAGUGCAGUUGAGGCAGGCGGAAUUCGUGGUGUAGCGGUGAAAUGCUUAGAUAUCACGAAGAACUCCGAUUGCGAAGGCAGCCUGCUA
rnacentral:rRNA from 1 species